GUCGAGUCAUAGGACACGUUCAGGAUCGUCGUGU
rnacentral:sRNA from 1 species